rnacentral:misc_RNA from 1 species
AACUUUAAUGAUGGAAGACCAGGUCCAGCUCCACCUGGCACUGCACAUCAUAAUGAAGAACAGUUUUUGUCAAAAGUCUUCCUUUGGGUGGCUGUUCUCUUCAUAUUUUGGCUCUUAAUAGCUUGAUGUAAACAUGAAAAACUUAAGAGGGAGGAUUAUUAUUAUUGUCAUAAUGAUUAAACAGAAGAGAGAAAAUGUGGUGUAUGUGGGUGUGUGUGUGUGAGAGAGAGAGAGAGAGAGAGAGAGAGAGAGAGAGGGAGAGGGAGAGAGAGACUUAAAUUAACAUCACUGUGUGUGGAGUGUAUAUUUUGAUUUAUAAAUGGGAAUACAUAUAAUUAGUAAACUAAUUUAAAUAUGCUUGACAUAGAAUUUCACAAUACCAAAUGUUAAUAUAUAUUCUGAGCUGCUUAGAAAUUCCAAUUUUGAAAAGGAUAGAUAUUUGUAUGUGUGAUGAAUGCAUUUGAUUGUCUAAGUUUGUGUGAGAAUAAAUUUUAUAUUGUUUUCAAAUUGAUAUUAUUGUGCAACACUAUAGAAACAUUGUACAUGUAUACGCAUAUAUAGCAAUGUCAUAUAAUUAUAUGUUAGUACAUUUAUUGAAAUGAUAUGCUGUAGGCAAAUUUUAUCAAAAGAAUUGCAAAGUUUGUAUGAUUAAUGGGAAAAAACUGUUCUUUCGUAUCAUGCCAGUGCAAGUAUACAAUAUGUUCCAAUAUUCAUUAAUGUGUUUAAAUCAAAGAUUAUUGUGAUAAAAUAGUCUUAACUUGUUAAUUGUUGUUAUAAAAAUAAAACUCAUUGAAUGAGAU